GGGGAAUUAGCUCAGAUGGCAGAGCGCUCGCUUAGCACUUGAAUGCAACGUGCGAGAGGCAGGGGGAUCAGUACCCCCAUUCUCCA